AUGCUGCUCAAGCUUCCUUCAGCUCCUAAUUCUAGGAGCUUGAGAACUAAAGCAAACCACAGACAGCCACAGGCACUCACUACCAGCCCUGACAAAGCAAAUCGCAAAACUCACCUCACAAGGUGGCAGCCAGCAACUCCUGUGGAAGGUCCAGCAGACCAGGAUACCCACAACAGCUGUGGUCCCUCAACUCCCUCCCACCAGCCCAGACUUGAAGCUGCUGAAGGAGCAAAGAGUACCUCUGACACCAUACUUGCAGGUGAUUUUAAACUAGGUAGUUAAAAACUGACUUGUUUAAUUCUGACCUGUAUAUAAUUUUUGUGUAAGCUAGCUAAUACUGAGAGGCUAAAAAUUAAGGAUCAUAUAAAACCUGUACAUAAUUCUAUUACUUCCAUCUGACAAAAUUCAGAUUUUAAUGUGCAUCUUUAUUUAUGUUACUUCACUUUUUAAUUUUUUUAUUUAGAAAAUACCUUCAGCAAAAAAACCAUUAAAGUGAUUUUCAGUCAAAAAAUAUGUGUCGAUUAAACUUUAAGCAAAAUCUCAC
rnacentral:lncRNA from 1 species